CGUUUCGGAGAACAUUUUACUUGCAUUCAAUUGCAACUAUAGCUGUUGUUUUUACCUUUACAUAUCUUCAUGUGUGGGUGUGUGUAUAUUUGUUUACACAUAAAUAUCAGUGGAGACUGGCUUUCUCAUAAACAGGCAUGAGAAGAACGCAAUGAGAGAGAGAGAGAGAGAGAGAGAGAGAGAGAGAGUCUGGGGUGGGUUUCCUCCCCUCCACCUCCUCUUCCAUGCUUUCCCCCUCCUUUUUUCCCAUCUUCUGAUCUCUUCCUUCCUCCUCCUCCCUUAGGCGCCCACCACCCAGACUCUCUCCUCUCCUCUCUACCCGCUAUGGUUGAGUGGUGGUCGACCCCUUCUCCUCUCUACCCGCUAUGGGAUUGUGAUGGUGUAUGAAUUAAUGGGACCGUUGUGGCCGACAGUUCGUGCUUUCCCUUUCGUGUUUUCCAUAAAUGCACCACAUUUCCUGGUGGUUUUAUGAGAUGGGAAGACUUGGGUCUCUUACUUUUCAGAUCGCUGAAUCAGUGAAGCUUCAUCCCCUAAAUUCUGCCGAUAAAUCAUUGAGACGUGCUUCCAUUGAGCUUCUGUUGUGGUUGGAUCAGAGAAGACGAUGGAGGUGCAGGACAGAGAGAAAUCGCCCAUCGGAGUAACCUCUCUUUCUCUUCCUUUCUCUCCCUAUAUGUAUGUAUGUAUGUAUUUAUAUAUGUACAUAUACUUGCGUAUAGCUGAAGCUUGUUUGUAGGAUUAUGGCGGACAAUAAGGCGGUGGCGAUCCGACCAGGAAUGUUAUGGCCCAGCAUUUUUCAUUUAUUUAAUUAGUUAUAUUGUCGUUAUUAAUUGGUGUUAUGUUUGGGUCCCAAUUAAUUAUUUUGCGAGCGUUAUGAAUAUUGAUGUUACAAUUGUAAUAUUUGGGAUAUGAGAUUGAUUUUGGAUAAAAUAGUGGCACCGGAUGGUAAUUUUAUAAAUUGUGUUACAUUGUAUCUAAAUCUAAUUAACUAGUUAGCUAUAAUAUAGAGAGUAGUGGGUAGUUUUACAAACUUAUUUUAGGAGAGAUUUACACCGGGUAGGGUUUUUAUUUUGAGAGAACUUGUGUGAGAAAAAGAGAAACGGUAGUGAGAAAAAGGGUAACGGCAGUCAAAGCUGGUUUGACGGGUUAUUGAUCAAUCGAGUAAGUGGUUUGUCCUCUUCAUGUUUCUCAUUUUCUUCGUUUCCUUUUCCUACGUUUCAAUAGUUUUUGAGUUCCAACUAGAGAACAAAACUUGGGUUUGUGGUGGUGUAUCAGUGGAGUCAAUGAGGGGACAAAUAUGGAUUUUGUUUCUAGUUUUGCACAAGUUCGACUGAAUUAUUUGUCUUAUGCGAUUAAACUAUGGAAGGGUUUUACCAUGCAUGCAUGAUGGAAGUGGGUGUGCAGCGCUGUGGUGUUUUGUGUGUGUGGCGCGGUGUGCGUGUGGGCUGUGGUGAUUUGUGUAGUAUGGGUGAAUGACUGGAUGGGACAAGUGUAGGAGAAUUUAGUUACAUUAUUAUUGAAUGUGGGAUUAUGGGAUUUGGGUGUUUUGGUUUAUGGAACAGAAGAGUUUUGUUUUGGCGGUACUGCCAUGGGUUUGUGCACGUGGACCAUUAGACUUGGAAUUACAAUGAUGGGUUCUUGUAAUUGAGGUUGAGUUGGAUUAGUCUAUUGAGGUUGAGUUGGAUUAGUCUUUGGUUAGAAGAGUAUUUUUCUUAGGGAGUUUCUUAUUGCUACAGAUUAUAUUAUAUUGAUACAGUUAGUGAUAAUAGUGCUACAUGAUUCUUGAUCAGGUUAGACUCAUUUUGCGUUGUUCGUUUGCAUUAUGUUUGGAUCCAAGUGAAUAGUUAAGUAUGUUAGGAAUUUUCAAUAGUUCAUUGUGUCCCUUAAAAGUAUUUCUUUCAGAAAUUUAUAUGAAUGUUAUUCGGAGACUCAAAACUGUUUAUAAGUUGUUCUAUAAAUUGGCAUGCGAUGAAUUUUUUGAGAUCAAUUGUUAAUAUUUUUUUUGGUGAGAAUUUGGUGGAUAUUAAUAGGAACAUUUAUUUCGGAAAUCUAGGGAAAUUAUUCCUCUUCGUGUUGGUGACCUUGACCAUUGGGGAAAAGACUGUGUUAGGUCGGUGAUCUUAAUACUCAACAGUUUUCUUUUGCCGGAUCGUCUUAGGGAAAAGUACCACGGGCUGCCAACCCUGGUGACCCUAAGUUCGAUAUGUUGGAUCCAAUUUUGAUGAGAUUUAUUUUGGCUAUGGUACUGUUUGAUUAUGGUUCCCCAUUGUUGAUGGAGUUAAUGUUUUGAUCACCACUAAGAAUAUUGGUUAAAUGCUUCAUUGAUUAAUUUAUUAUUUUGUUGGACACCUUGUUUGCUAAAUUUUGUUUAAUGGUAAAUUAUUUUCAUUCCCGCUUUCAACUUUAUUUAAUAUACAUACUUGCUAUUCACUGAGCUCGUCAACUGACGGAUUUUUAUCCAACUUCUUUUCCAGGCAAGUUGAGGAGGAGUUAGGCAAGGACUCUGGUGGUAUCUCGGGGAUUUCUUUUUAUUGACUCUCAUAGGAUGUUGCAUUUACUAUAAAGAUUUUAAUCAUCGCUUCCGCACUUUGUAUAGCUUUUGAGUAAAAUGGGAUUACUAUAUUGUUGAUGGUAAAUUUUUAUUGGCUGGUUCAUGGGAUGGUUGUACCCCAUGUUUAUAAUUGGGAUUUAUUUAAUAAAAAAAAAACAUCAUUGUUCAA